GUAGGUGGCAAGCGUUGUCCGGAAUUAUUGGGCGUAAAGCGCGCGCAGGUGGUUCUUUAAGUCUGAUGUGAAAGCCCCCGGCUCAACCGGGGAGGGUCAUUGGAAACUGGGGAACUUGAGUGCAGGAGAGGAAAGUGGAAUUCCACGUGUAGCGGUGAAAUGCGUAGAUAUGUGGAGGAACACCAGUGGCGAAGGCGACUUUCUGGCCUGUAACUGACACUGAGGCGCGAAAGCGUGGGGAGCAAACAGGGAUUAGAUACCCUGGUAGUCCACGCCGUAAACGAUGAGUGCUAAGUAUUGGGGGGGUUUCCCGCCCCUCAGUGCUGCAGCUAACGCAUUAAGCACUCCGCCUGGGGAUACGGUCGCAAGACUG
rnacentral:rRNA from 1 species